rnacentral:rRNA from 1 species
UAAGACGAACCGUGCGAACGUUGUUCGGAAUCACUGGGCUUAAAGGGCGCGUAGGCGGGGUGGCAAGUCUGUGGUGAAAUCCUCCGGCUCAACCGGAGAACUGCCGUGGAUACUGCCACUCUCGAGGGGUGUAGGGGCAUGUGGAACUUAGGGUGGAGCGGUGAAAUGCGUAGAUAUCCUAAGGAACGCCGGUGGCGAAAGCGACGUGCUGGACACCUACUGACGCUGAGGCGCGAAAGCCAGGGGAGCGAACGGGAUUAGAUACCCCGGUAGUCCUGGCCCUAAACGAUGGGUACUAGAUUGUGGGCUGGACAUGGGCCACAGUCGAAGCAAAAGUGAUAAGUACCCCGCCUGGGGAGUAUGGUCGCAAGGCUG